UCGCGAUCCAGUUUAGGGGGUUUUAUGUAAAUAGUAGGGGCUCUCCGGAAAAUAAUAGGAUCGCAGAGAAUAGAUGAGGAGCUGAUACGUAAUUGUGUUGACCGCGUUCCCAUCGGCGGCCGGCGUCGAUGGCAAGCCCUGAGGAGCGGUGGUGGCAUCCGCCUAACCUGUCCCCGGCGGGCGGAGGCCCCGCCGCACACAGCACCUGACAUUGGACGCCGGCGGUAGGACACGGCGUGAGGGACACCGACGGGAGGGGAACGCAGGAGGGAUGCCCUCAAGGCCGCCACGGCCCCGUCGCCGGCGUCCGAGGAGGAGAGGAUGGCGAAUCUGAGCUGGUCAGGUGAGUCACCGCAUCUGCUGCUCCUGCUCGACGGAGACGGAUGCUGAGGAGGAGUUGCUCAAGCUCAGCGGCCUGGAGUUACGCCAGCAGCUAGGGAUGCUUAAUUUCUUCAGAGCUUUCAUUGCGCUGCUCAUGGCCCAUCGUCAGAUGUUGACUACCGGAUUUACUUCGUCGCUUUUGCCGGCACGGCGGUCGCCGGCCGGCCUCGUCAUCUGCUCAUACGAUACAAGGGCUCCGGAGAUGGCGCAGGUCUCCGAGGCCAAUGACGAGCAGGGCAACGAAGGGGAUGAGGAAGCUGGAACGCAGAACCAGGCCUGAAACUCCGGUUCCAGCAUUUGCAAUGGGAACCCUGCUUCAACAGGCAAUUCAGCUGCCGUGGCCCGUGCCCUUCAGGUGAUCACUAGGCAGCCAUGAGUUGUAGCAUGCAUUGGAAGGUAUUGUGUCCAUAGGAACUAGAAACAAAAGAUGAUGACAGAAACAGGGUCAGAUUUAUCCUCAAACAAGCGUGGCCGCUCAUACAGAAAAUUGACGGACAGGAUGAUCGGUGUCAUUCAAUAUUCCAUCUUCAGACUAGGACUGUUCGGUUGCCUUCAAGCUGGGCCAACACAUCUUCCUUCAAUGCUU